CACCCUCCAAGCUCUGCUUGAUGUUGGACGCUGUGUUUAGGCACACGUCUGGAACUUGUAGGCGUCCGUCCUGUCGAGACACCGCGAGCGUAGCAAGACGUUUUUGUCAUUUUCGCUUUUGUCGGGACUCCAGCGGACUGCCCCUACGAUUAGGGAGUCAACCCCCUAAUCAUUUUCAAGA
rnacentral:misc_RNA from 1 species